GUCGGAAUUGCUAGUAAUGGCAGGUCAGCAUACUGCCGUGAAUACGUUCCCGGGCCUUGUACACACCGCCCGUCACACCAUGAGAGUUGGGAAUACCCGAAGCCUGUGAGCCAACAAACGAGGCAGCAGUCGAAGGUAGAAUCAAUGAUUGGGGUGAAGUCGUAACAAGGUACC
rnacentral:rRNA from 1 species